rnacentral:rRNA from 1 species
AGUGUAGGCGGGAUCGUAAGUUAGGAGUUUAAUGCAUGGGCUUAACCCAUGAUCUGCUUUUAAUACUGCGGUUCUUGAGUAUGGGAGAGGGCGAUGGAAUUUCAGGUGUAGCGGUGGAAUGCGUAGAUAUCUGGAAGAACACCAGUAGCGAAGGCGGUCGCCUGGCCCAAUACUGACGCUGAUGCUCGAAAGCUAGGGGAGCAAACAGGAUUAGAUACCCUGGUAGUCCUAGCCGUAAACGAUGGACACUAGUUGCUGGAGGAGUCAAUCCUUUCGGUGACGAAGCUAACGCAUUAAGUGUCCCGCCUGGGGAGUACGCUCGCAAGGGUGAA